rnacentral:rRNA from 1 species
UACAGGGGGGGCAAGCGUUGUUCGGAAUUACUGGGCGUAAAGGGCUCGUAGGUGGCCAACUACGUCAGACGUGAAAUCCCUCAGCUUAACUGGGGAACUGCGUCUGAUACUGGAUGGCUUGAGUUUGGGAGAGGGAUGCGGAAUUCCAGGUGUAGCGGUGAAAUGCGUAGAUAUCUGGAGGAACACCGGUGGCGAAGGCGGCAUCCUGGACCAAUACUGACACUGAGGAGCGAAAGCCAGGGGAGCAAACGGG